UACGUAGGGUGCAAGCGUUGUCCGGAAUUAUUGGGCGUAAAGAGCUCGUAGGCGGUUUGUUGCGUCGGCUGUGAAAUCCCGAGGCUCAACCUCGGGUCUGCAGUCGAUACGAGCAAACUAGAGUGUUGCAGGGGAGACUGGAAUUCCUGGUGUAGCGGUGAAAUGCGCAGAUAUCAGGAGGAACACCGGUGGGCGAAGGCGGGGUCUCUGGGCAACAACUGACGCUGGAG
rnacentral:rRNA from 1 species